GACGAACGCUGGCGGCGUGCCUAAUACAUGCAAGUUGAGCGAUGAAGAUUGGUGCUUGCACCAAUUUGCAGAGCAGCGAACGGGUGAGUAACGCGUGGGGAAUCUGCCUUUGAGCGGGGGACAACAUUUGGAAACGAAUGCUAAUACCGCAUAACAACUUUAAACAUAAGUUUUAAGUUUGAAAGAUGCAAUUGCAUCACUCAAAGAUGAUCCCGCGUUGUAUUAGCUAGUUGGUGAGGUAAAGGCUCACCAAGGCGAUGAUACAUAGCCGACCUGAGAGGGUGAUCGGCCACAUUGGGACUGAGACACGGCCCAAACGCCUACGGGAGGCAGCAGUAGGGAAUCUUCGGCAAUGGACGAAAGUCUGACCGAGCAACGCCGCGUGAGUGAAGAAGGGUGUCGGAUCGUAAAACUCUGUUGGUAGAGAAGAACGUUGGUGAGAGUGGAAAGCUCAUCAAGUGACGGUAACUACCCAGAAAGGGACGGCUAACUACGUG
rnacentral:rRNA from 1 species